rnacentral:rRNA from 1 species
AGAGUUUGAUCCUGGCUCAGGAUGAACGCCGCGGCGUGCUUAACACAUGCAAGUCGAACGAGCCUUCGGGCUAGUGGCGGACGGGUGAGUAACGCGUGGGAAUCUGCCCUCAGGAGGGGGAUAACGGCCGGAAACGGCCGCUAAUACCCCAUAUGCCGAGAGGUGAAAUGAAUUUCGCCUGAGGAUGAGCCCGCGUCUGAUUAGCUAGUUGGUGUGGUAAUGGCGCACCAAGGCUUCGAUCAGUAGCUGGUCUGAGAGGAUGAUCAGCCACACUGGGACUGAGACACGGCCCAGACUCCUACGGGAGGCAGCAGUGGGGAAUUUUCCGCAAUGGGCGAAAGCCUGACGGAGCAACGCCGCGUGAGGGACGAAGGCCUCUGGGCUGUAAACCUCUCUUCUCAAGGAAGAAGACAUGACGGUACUUGAGGAAUAAGCCACGGCUAAUUCCGUGCCAGCAGCCGCGGUAAUACGGGAGUGGCAAGCGUUAUCCGGAAUUAUUGGGCGUAAAGCGUCCGCAGGCGGCCCAGCAAGUCUGUUGUUAAAAAGUGGAGCUCAACUCCAUCCAGGCAAUGGAAACUGCUGGGCUAGAGUGUGGUAGGGGCAGAGGGAAUUCCCGGUGUAGCGGUGAAAUGCGUAAAUAUCGGGAAGAACACCAGUGGCGAAGGCGCUCUGCUGGGCCAUAACUGACGCUCAUGGACGAAAGCCAGGGGAGCGAAAGGGAUUAGAUACCCCUGUAGUCCUGGCCGUAAACGAUGAACACUAGGUGUCGGGGGAAUCGACCCCCUCGGUGUCGUAGCCAACGCGUUAAGUGUUCCGCCUGGGGAGUACGCACGCAAGUGUGAAACUCAAAGGAAUUGACGGGGGCCCGCACAAGCGGUGGAGUAUGUGGUUUAAUUCGAUGCAACGCGAAGAACCUUACCAGGGUUUGACAUCCUGCGAAUCCCUUGGAAACUUGGGAGUGCCUUCGGGAGCGCAGUGACAGGUGGUGCAUGGCUGUCGUCAGCUCGCGUCGUGAGAUGUUGGGUUAAGUCCCGCAACGAGCGCAACCCACGUCUUUAGUUGCCAGCAUUAAGUUGGGCACUCUAGAGAGACCGCCGGUGAUAAACCGGAGGAAGGUGUGGAUGACGUCAAGUCAUCAUGCCCCUUACAUCCUGGGCUACACACGUACUACAAUGCUACGGACAAAGGGCAGCAAACUCGCGAGAGCUAGCAAAUCCCAUAAACCGUGGCUCAGUUCAGAUCGUAGGCUGCAACUCGCCUACGUGAAGGAGGAAUCGCUAGUAAUCGCAGGUCAGCAUACUGCGGUGAAUACGUUCCCGGGCCUUGUACACACCGCCCGUCACACCAUGGAAGUUGGCCAUGCCCGAAGUCGUUACUCCAACCCGCAAGGGAGGAGGACGCCGAAGGUGGGGCUGAUGACUGGGGUGAAGUCGUAACAAGGUA